rnacentral:misc_RNA from 1 species
AAGAUAGAUACUAAUAAUCCUCAUACAUACCCCAUCAUCCAAAGCACAAGAGAGCAAGGUCCAAACCUUAUUUAUGUUACACCAAACCGACAAGUCCAAAGCACGAGAGACGCCUUAUUUAUGUACAACAUCACCGGUCCAAGUAAACAAGGCUUAAGAUAUUGAAAGAUGCAUCUUGGCAAGCCCUUCAUUCAGGAAGCUGAUAGGACGACACUCCACUAGACCAUUACUAGCUAACUCCUCCCAACUGGGUUUGGCACACCUAUUCCGAGUUGCUUCCAGGCUCAUCUCAUGGGAAUAUCUCAGUAAUCGGCUCCUAGUUGCUUCCAGGCUCAUAUCCCGGGGAUCAAAUAUGUUACCAAUAUUUUUCCGGUUUGUACUCUUCUUCUCGUUACUGUGACUCCCUCGUGAGGACUUGCCCUUGGUGUUCUUGUGCUUGUCUUUUUUCUUUGCCUUGGGUCGCUGGAGACGGUUUUGCACAGUGUGCGACAUAGAGCUGACAAGCGGGUCGUAAACCUCUGGUGCCCAUUUUACAUGUAACUUCUCAUUCUGGGAUACCCCAUUCUGUGCACGGCCCCCUUUCAUGGCAGAAACAAGUUCAAAACGAGAAGGAAGAGAUACAGAUCGUGCAUAGGAAGAACUUCCAGUUGCAGCAGAUGGACCUUGCUCAGCUUUAUAGAUUUUGUCCGGAAAUUG